rnacentral:rRNA from 1 species
ACGUGGUAUCCUGUCUGAAUAUGGGGGGACCAUCCUCCAAGGCUAAAUACUCCUGACUGACCGAUAGUGAACCAGUACCGUGAGGGAAAGGCGAAAAGAACCCCGGCGAGGGGAGUGAAAAAGAACCUGAAACCGUGUACGUACAAGCAGUGGGAGCCCCACCACUAAGCCAGUGGUGAACUCCACAUACGCAUCCUUUGCUGAAGGCAAUGGUUAACGGAGCGAAAGCGACGUUCAACCGCAAAACAAGCAGAGGGGGCUUAGUGGUGGGGUGACUGCGUACCUUUUGUAUAAUGGGUCAGCGACUUAUAUUCUGUAGCAAGGUUAACCGUAUAGGGGAGCCGGAGGGAAACCGAGUCUUAAUUGGGCGUUAAGUUGCAGGGUAUAGACCCGAAACCCGGUGAUCUAGCCAUGGGCAGGUUGAAGGUUGGGUAACACUAACUGGAGGACCGAACCGACUAAUGUUGAAAAAUUAGCGGAUGACCUGUGGCUGGGGGUGAAAGGCCAAUCAAACCGGGAGAUAGCUGGUUCUCCCCGAAAGCUAUUUAGGUAGCGCCUCGUGAAUUCAUCUCCGGGGGUAGAGCACUGUUUCGGCUAGGGGGCCAUCCCGGCUUACCAACCCGAUGCAAACUGCGAAUACCGGAGAAUGUUAUCACGGGAGACACACGGCGGGUGCUAACGUCCGUCGUGAAGAGGGAAACAACCCAGACCGCCAGCUAAGGUCCCAAAGUCAUGGUUAAGUGGGAAACGAUGUGGGAAGGCCCAGACAGCCAGGAUGUUGGCUUAGAAGCAGCCAUCAUUUAAAGAAAGCGUAAUAGCUCACUGGUCGAGUCGGCCUGCGCGGAAGAUGUAACGGGGCUAAACCAUGCACCGAAGCUGCGGCAGCGAACGUAUCACUUAAAGCGAUUCAGCGGGUUACGAUUGACGGAGCGAAGCGACGUCAAAGCGUAUACAAAGUCGAGUCGGUUUAAGGAUACGUUCGUUGGGUAGGGGAGCGUUC